AGUGAACGCUGGCGGUAGGCCUAACACAUGCGAGUCGAACGGCAGCACAGUAAGAGCUUGCUCUUACGGGUGGCGAGUGACGGACGGGUGAGGAAUACAUCGGAAUCUACUUUUUCGUGGGGGAUAACGUAGGGAAACUUACGCUAAUACCGCAUACGACCUACGGGUGAAAGCAGGGGAUCUUCGGACCUUGCGCGAUUGAAUGAGCCGAUGUCGGAUUAGCUAGUUGGCGGGGUAAAGGCCCACCAAGGCGACGAUCCGUAGCUGGUCUGAGAGGAUGAUCAGCCACACUGGAACUGAGACACGGUCCAGACUCCUACGGGAGGCAGCAGUGGGGAAUAUUGGACAAUGGGCGCAAGCCUGAUCCAGCCAUACCGCGUGGGUGAAGAAGGCCUUCGGGUUGUAAAGCCCUUUUGUUGGGAAAGAAAAGCAGCAGGUUAAUACCCCGCUGUUCUGACGGUACCCAAAGAAUAAGCACCGGCUAACUUCGUG
rnacentral:rRNA from 1 species